GGCAGAAGAAAUUCUUCCCCAACAGCAGAGAGAGGUACAAGCAAGGAAUUCAGGACCUAGCUUACUUCACCCUCCACACACACACACACACACACACACACACACACACACACAGCUUCCCCACCAAGGAUCUUGACAAGCCUCAGGGAAUGGCCUGUCUGAGCAAGACCACCAGUGUUGGAGGUUAUAGCAGCCUUGAAGCCAUUCCAAGAUUCAGAGAUGAGGUUCAAUCUAUCUAUAGGUCUUUUUGUGUCCUCUGAUGGGCUGGCCCCAAGUCAGCAGAUGUGGAUAUGGUCUGGAGUAUGUAAGGGGAAGUGCUAUCAUGGUGAGACAAGGACAUGGGGCUAAGGAACUAGAGAAAAGAUGUCCUUGUCAGAAUGAACCUGCAAAAGCCCUGAUGCAAGUCCUGAGGCAAGGGGGUGUGGAGAUCAGAGCCCUCUGGAAGAUGAAAUCCAGUCUUAGGGGCCAGAAGAGCCCUCCAGGCAUUGUGAGAACUGUAGGAAGGAGCAUGCUUUUGCUGGUUUCAGAAAAGUGUAGUACAUGUUCUGUCAGAAGCUUUAAAUGUUACUUGAUUGUUAUGGAACUCUAGACUGUGGGCCAAGGAAACAAAGAGGUGGAGUCAUGAGUAGCAAAACGUUAUGGAAGCAUAAUCCUGUCUCAGGGACCGGAACUACUUCUUUGGGAAUUAGGAUAAAUGCAGAUAAGAAUUUGAGGGCAAUGAACCUCUAGGGAGUGAAAUCCACCCCAUGUCAGGGGCUUUAGGUGCUGCCCAGGCAUCUUAAGAGCUGUACACCAAGGAAAGGGGAAUACCACAUUAAUCCUCAGCGAAGGGCACCUGGGCGGCUCAGUGGUCUGUCUUUAUCUCAGGUCGUGAUCACUGGGUCCUGGGAUCAAGUCCCACAUCAGGCUCCCUGCAGGGAGCCUGCUUCUCCUUCUGCCUAGGUCUCUGCCCCUCUCAUGAAUAAACAAAAUCUCAAAAAAAAAAAAUCCUCAGUGAAGAGGUCUGUGCUCUAUGGCAGAAAUCACUGCUUGCUUGCCCGCCUGCCUGCUACAGAUGUUGUAGGCCGCGGCACCUGUGAUAUGAAGAUUGGGAUUGUAGGCCUGGAGAGCUCGGAUACUGGUAAUGACACCUGGGUCACUGUGGGAGCUGUUAGGUAGAGGGUAGGGGUCGCAAAGAACUCUGUGGUGUGUAACUCAAAGAGACUCAGGGUAGAGGCUGCUGGUUUUCAAGCCCUCUGGAGCUCUGAAGCAUAAGCCUGCAGGGACCACCCUCCACUUCCCCCAGUGGCAACUUUGUAUGUGGCUCUCACUAAAUCAGUGAAGGUUCACCCAUUCCCAUCCAAUCCUAGCUUCAGAAUGCCAUUGCCUGACACCUCUUACUCCAUCCUUAAUACUUGUAGGUUUAUAUUCUAAACACACUCCUCCAUAAAGUUUCAUUAGGUUUCUGAACCAAGUGAGGUGUGUGUUAAGUCCAUCUUGAUCCAGGAACCCAGGGAAACUUACAUGCAUAGCCUGCUCAGGGUUAACACCAGAACAAUCAGCCCAGCAUGAUAGGACCCAGCAUGACCACAGAAGACUGGAGGAGGGCAACGUAAAGGCCAAAACAUGGAUGAAGGCAGGUGACUAUAAUAGUUGCUGAUCAAGGUGAGAGCCACUGAAGUCCUGGGUAUUGGGAGCAGUGGUUUCAGAUGGAGGAAGUGAGAGAUAGCAGGAUGCCUCACACAUAGGGAGAUGGGAGGGUCGAAGGGUCAGGAGGGCUCAGGUUGGCAACUGGACUCCAGGAGCUUCAGUUGAAGAUGAAGAAAAGGUUGAAUAUAAUUUGCUGAGUACCCACUUGGUGUUUGACAGAUGCCUUUUAUCCCAAAUCCCAUGGAUUCCCCAGAGGUCUCCGAACAGAGUGUGGAGUGAGGCUGUGGCCUAAUCAAGUCACCCUCCUGAAAGUGAAUCUGGGGGAAAUGGAGUAGGAACAAGGUCAGAGCAGAGGAGUCCAGGAGGGGUGGACAGUGGUUCAAGGUCCUGCACCAUACCAGAAGUUCUGGUUCAGUGGAACUAUACUCCAACGAUCUUGGUGACCCAGUUCCCUGCAAGACAUCUCUCACUGCUGCCACAUCUCCCCUCAUUAUAGGACUUACGAGGUUCCAGAGAUGGAAGAUAAGUCUGAACGUGCUGGCAGGUGGAUGCGAGGGGGAGAGGGGGGAGACAUCAUUUCUGUGUUCAUUUUGUGUGACAGGAGGCUGCGAACCUUGGAGGUGAUGGGACUAGGGUACCCCCUUACCUCAGGCUGCCGAGCCUGGAUCUACAAAGACUCAUCUUAUAGUAGAACGGAGACUUGGAAAAAAAUUAUUAAAAAAAAAAAAACAAAAAAAAA
rnacentral:lncRNA from 1 species